rnacentral:rRNA from 1 species
GCGAAAACUUUACAAUGCUGGCAACAGCGACAAGGGAACCUCGAGUGCCAGGUUACAAAUCUGGCUGUCGAGAUGCCUAAAAAGCAUUUCAUAGCAAGGGCCGGGCAAGACCGGUGCCAGCCGCCGCGGUAACACCGGCGGCUCGAGUGGUAACCGUUAUUAUUGGGUCUAAAGGGUCUGUAGCCGGCCGGAUAAGUCUCUUGAGAAAUCUGGCAGCUUAACUGUCAGGCUUUCAGGAGAUACUGUCUGGCUCGAGGCCGGGAGAGGUGAGAGGUACUUCAGGGGUAGGGGUGAAAUCUUGUAAUCCUUGAAGGACCACCAGUGGCGAAGGCGUCUCACCAGGACGGACCUGACGGCAAGGGACGAAAGCUAGGGGCACGAACC